UACGAAGGGGGCUAGCGUUGCUCGGAAUUACUGGGCGUAAAGGGCGCGUAGGCGGAUAGUUUAGUCAGAGGUAAAAGCCCAGGGCUCAACCUUGGAACUGCCUUUGAUACUGGCUAUCUUGAGUUCGGGAGAGGUGAGUGGAAUGCCGAGUGUAGAGGUGAAAUUCGUAGAUAUUCGCAAGAACACCAGUGGCGAAGGCGGCUCACUGGCCCGGUACUGACGCUGAGGUGC
rnacentral:rRNA from 1 species